CCCACCACACCACCGCAUUUGAGGGGGGAGCGAGAGCUUGAUUAGGGUUUGUUCAAUCUUCGAUUCCAGAAGUGGAAGGAAACAUUCACUGGAGAGUGCGGGAGUCUAUUCUGGCGUUGAGCAGGCGAGCGACUGUUGAGUUGCCAUGGCGUUGAGCAAUUUUCUCUUGACGGUGGCGGCGGUAGGAGCUGGAUUCGUCUUGCUCAAGGGGGAUGUGCGCCGAUCAGCUGUUAAUCUUCGGAGAAAUCUUAAGCACGUGCGCAACUGGUUGGAACAGGAACAAGCUACUUCUCGUUCUAAAGGUGAACAUGUUAAGCCAAGGGAGGUGGAAGCGGGUAAAUCUGAGAAGGCCGAAAAGCAUUAAUUGGGUGACAAGUGCGUUGGAGGCGAAGAGUUUGUAAAUGCUACACACGUAUGAUUCUGUAUUAAAGUCGGUAAGUAAAAUGCUGAUGCAGUAUGCUGGACUUCAUUAAGUAUUUUUCUCGUUCAAAUCAGAAGCGUGCAAACGACAACGUUCGUUUGCUGAAGAAUUCCAUUCUACGUGGUCAAGGCAACAAUACGUCUUAAUAUUGGUGCAUUUGGAUGGAAAGCUUAGCCAGUGAACUCUCCACCACUCAAAUUCCAUGAAGGUUGCAUUGCACUCGUCGAUUUUGAAAGGUUGAAAUUUUGGAGUCCCAGCAGUGUCCAAGCACCAGGUAGUCACGUGAAACUUGAACUUUGCUCUUCAUAAACUUAACCUCCUAGGUACUCCAUAUCAUUUUUGUGAAGCUGAGGCAGCUGAAUCUUGAAUUGAAUGGUUUUAAACGACGAUCAUGAGCUUGUCCUUCUGUUGGCAGUAGUAAAUAAUAGAAUUACUGCUGGUAGCUUACCGAUUGUUGGAUAAUGUGUAUGGUUACACUUCUACGAUCAAACUGUAUAGAAUGGUUUUUGGAGUAAUUGGGCAUGCCAGUUUGAGCAGGGCCUGGUUAUCUGUGUGAAUUAAACUCAACCUCCGAUCUCCUUGAUGUAUGACUUGGGGGUGAUUCCCAGACCUGUUGACUCUGAAGUCAUCACUACUCAUGUAUGAUACAUGAAUAAAGAAUGAGCUAUCUGAACAACUAGUUCAACACUUCAAUUUGAUA